rnacentral:rRNA from 1 species
CGGCGCACGGGUGAGUAACGCGUAUGCAACCUACCUAUCAGAGGGGAAUAACCCGGCGAAAGUCGGACUAAUACCGCAUAAAACAGGGGCACCGCAUGGUGAUAUUUGUUAAAGAAAUUCGCUGAUAGAUGGGCAUGCGUUCCAUUAGGUAGUUGGUGAGGUAACGGCUCACCAAGCCGACGAUGGAUAGGGGAACUGAGAGGUUGGUCCCCCACACUGGUACUGAGACACGGACCAGACUCCUACGGGAGGCAGCAGUGAGGAAUAUUGGUCAAUGGGCGGGAGCCUGAACCAGCCAAGUCGCGUGAAGGAAGAAGGAUCUAUGGUUCGUAAACUUCUUUUGCAGGGGAAUAAGGUGCAGGACGUGUCCUGUUUUGUAUGUACCCUGAGAAUAAGGAUCGGCUAACUCCGUGCCAGCAGCCGCGGUAAUACGGAGGAUCCGAGCGUUAUCCGGAUUUAUUGGGUUUAAA